rnacentral:lncRNA from 1 species
AUCAACUGCACAAAAGAUGGGAGGGGACAAGUGAGGUGGUCACUUCUUUCAUCGAAACUCCUUGUCCCCUCGGAGUCUGGUGUAUGAAAGUGAAUUCUCCACCAUCGAACCUUCUUUGGACAUGUAUGAUGAGAACAAAACCUGAAUUUUAAACAUGGGCUGGCUGUUGGGGUCACUGCUUUUGUGAUUUGAUUUCUGAUCACCUUUCUUAUUUUGUAUUCUCCUGUCAGCAUCCGUUUUGGAAGAAUGGCAGCACUUUCCAAGCACAGGUUGGGGUUCAGGGUUAAUUUGCAAAGUUCCCCCAAGGUGAGGCUUUGAGGACAGUAGCAUUGCCCAGGUGAGCCUUGUGGUAUUGAAAACCCGCCCAAGCUGAUCAUUGAAGGUGGGCGCCCAGCAAGCCUGGCUGUUUCCAGAGAAGAGGCCGGGCCCAGGAUUAAUGUUGCAUUGCAGACGCAUCUCUGAACAAUCACACGCUGUUCUGCGCCAGGGAAGCUGGGGUUUUUAACAUCCUUUUGUGGUCCCUGCUUACGAUGCAUACUGCCCUGUGGGAGAAGCUUCCUACCCGCGUGGAGUACAGGUGCUGCUCCCUGACCUGGCUCUGGAUGUUCCCCUCUCGCUUAUUCUACUUCCUGCUGAAGGGCCCCUUCUAAAGGGGGUUGAGAGAAGGCCUUGCCUUUGUAUCUCCUCUGAGACUCUGACCACCCACUUCCUGCCAGGGCAGGGCCGUGGGAGACGCAGGCCGUGGGGCCGGGUCUGUGUGCGGGGCCAGGCAGCCGUCUGCGUCACUGUUUUCCAGCCUCCGUGUUGAGCAUGACGUAAAGUGACAAGUGUUUAAGUCAGCACGAAAACACUGAAGGCCCCUCCGUCCCUGCAGCCUGUGAACACGUCUACUCGGCCACCCGUCAGUAUAGGGAGUGUGUGUAUAGGGAGGUGGCACCCGGGAGCCCAGCCCAGCAGUGUCUCUGGGCACAGUGAUUUCAAGGGGGAUGGCCAGCAGUUGUGAAAGACAGGAUGAUCUGGAAUGUCUCAUUGGGAAGACCAAACCCCCUUCUCGCUGCAGAUACCAGAUAAGCACCCAUCUUCAGUGUCCACUGUGCAGCCCAGUCCUCUCCAUCAGCCCCAGCACAGCAUGAAGAAGGCACAUGAGCACCGGCCGACAGGCUUACAGGACAGGGUGCAGCAGCCAGCAUCCCAGGCAUCAGGGACAUGUGGGAUCUUCCCACACACCUGGGGUGACAUCGAAUUAACAUGAUGAGAAAAUUGCAUCUUACCGCUAAUCCCAGUACAGAACCACUAUGGGCAAAUUUAUAAAACUAAUCUGCACACCCUCUUUGCAAAAGGACACACCUGAGUUGAGUCUGCCUCUCCUCAUUGGCAUGAGCUUUGUGGGGGCGUGAGGCGCACGGACCCUUGCUGUGAGAACAGGAACCGCAGUCUUCACAUGCCCAGGGUCAGGUCCGACAGCAAACGAAGCAGACGCGUGAAUCCCCUGCCCUGUUCUCACUGACUGUGGAAUAUACGUUUGAAGUGAACACUUGCCAUUUUUCCACGUGCAGCUUCUCCUAAAGUGUCUUUUCUCCUAACGCGUCAAUAACGCCUCAGACACAGGUGUGCCUGAAGGAAACCUGCAGAGCCCCGGAUGGGGACAGGCUUCAGGAGCAUUGUCAGAGAGCAGGCAGCGGCAUUUCGUUUUCGCUCAUUUGAGGCUAGAAUGGUGCAGAUUUUAAAGGUCUUAGCAGCUUUUGUGUUUUACCUUUUACCAAGGGCUUUGGGGUAUUUUUUGUUUUUGUUUUUCUUUAUGAUAGUCUUCGUACUAUAAAAAUAUUUUCAGUGAGCAACUUCAAGAUAGCAUCGUUCAGAAAAGCAGGUUUCCCCAUUGGGCUCUCAGAGAGAGGGUGAGUCUGCAGGAAGCUGGAGCCCAUUUGCUGGAGGUUCCAGACACGCGCCUGCAUUUGUAUGUGUUUGACCCACCUGAAAGGUAGGAGAGCUCAGUUCGGAUCGUUGCCGUGUUGUCUAUACCACCUCCUUUUUUCCCAAACCAAAACGCAGAUCCUGAUGUAGCAUUUUCUCCUGAUUUGAGGUCUUACCAAGGUGUAUACGUUAAAUUCCACUCAAGACAGUUUCUUUACUGAAAAGGUAUGAAAUUACUUGAGAAGAAGUACAAAUUUCAGGCCCCUAGAAUCUGCCUAUUAAUAUAACAUUUGAAUUUCUGGGAAAUCUGGGGCACACAUUCACGGUAGAAUAACAAGGAGGCAUUGCUUGCAGGGGAGCGUACUCAGAACAGUGCUGUGGAUCCUGGCUUGACACCCUUUUCUGGAAAAUUGGGGUCACUCUCUGGCUCAGCUACAGAAUGGCCUGUCUUUGUCAGGAGGGACACUAACUUCUCAUUAAGGCCAUGCUCUUCAGGAACAGAGAGGAUGAUUUGGUUUUUGGUUUCGGGUUUUUAUUUUUAUUUUUGUUUUUGUUUUGAGACAGUCUCACUCUGUCACCCAGGCUGAAGGGCAGUGGCGCAACCUCGGCUCACUGUAGCCUCCACCUCCUGGGCUCAAGUGAUCCUCCCACCUCAGCCCACCGAGUAGCUGGGACCACAGGCACGUGCCACCACGCCCAGCUAAUUUUUGGAUUUUCUGUAGAGAUAUGGGACUUUGCCGUGUUGCCCAGGCUGGUCUUGAAUUCCUGGGCUCAAGCAAUCCGCCCCCACCUCGGCCUCCCAAAGUUCCGGGAUUCCAGUUCUGAGCCACCAUGCCCAGCCAAGAAUGGCAUUUUUUUUUUUAAUCCCAAAUAACAGCCUCUUUACUAGCUGCUAUGCUGGGGGAAAUCCCUGCUAAGUUGGGACCCUGGCAGGAAGUGGCCGGGGCUGCUUGUCCAGUGAGCAUUGUGAGGACACACAUCGCCACAUGGGCAGCGCUGCCCUGAGGCGCUUGGGGAGCAGCGUUCCGCCUGCUGCAGGUGUGAUGGGGUGCGGAGAGUGAGUGCCUCCGUGGCUGCAAGUCUUGCCACCAGCAGCGGUUAUUAGGAAAUGUAUGAUAACCUCAGUCAUUGUUGAGGGGGGAAGUGUUUGAAGUAAGGAAGAGGCUGAGGAGUCAGCUAUUUACACCACACACCCGCCCCCCUGCCUCCAGGGGACUGCUGUGAGCUGGGCCUGUGCCCGGGUGAGGAGAACCAUGGGCCUGUGUGGCAGGAUCAGCAAGUCUAGGGCCAGGGCAGCCAUCAGCAUCCUCUGGGAGUUGGUUGUGACUAUUGAAAUGCAAAUGCUUCCGCUUUGGUGAUUUUUUUUUUUUUUUUUUUUUUUUUUUGAGACGGAGUCUCGCUCUGUCACCCAGGCUGGAGUGCAGUGGCGCGAUCUUGGCUCACUGCAACCUCCGCCUCCCGGGUUCACACCAUCCUCCUGCCUCAGCCUCCCGAGCAGCUGGGACUACAGGCACCUGCCACGACGCCCAGCUAAUUUUUUGUAUUUUUAGUAGAGAUGGGGUUUUACCGUGUUAGCCAGGAUGGUCUCGAUCUCCUGACCUCGUGAUCCGCCUGCCUUGGCCUCCCAAAGUGCUGGAAUUACAGACGUGAGCCACCGCGCCCGGCCAAGCUUUGGUGACUUUUAACAUCCUAAGGGAGGAGUAACCCCUCUUUCCUGUUAAUCCAGAGGGAGGGGAGGGAAGGCCAGAUAGCCAGGGCUUCCAGCGCAGGAGGCAGAGCUUGGCAGCCACUGGUGGUGAUAAGCACGUCUGCCCAGGGCUGCCUGCCUCUGCCCUCCUCUUGGGAAGACAAGCUCUGCCCCCAGCUAAAAACUCCUCACAACCCUGAUGAGCCUUGCUUUUGCAGAGAGGCCCCAGCUCCCAGCUCCCCUGGUGGUCCUCAGGCCUGGCUGCGAGGCACAUUCACGAGGCACUGCCUUGAGCACUGAGGUCUGGCACCUGCCGGCUUCCCUGAUGCAGCAACAGCCCCAGCUGCCAGUUAGUCUGAUGAUAUUUGGAAAAGUAUUUUUAAAAACGAGAUUACUGAAUUUUACAAGCUUGACAUUUUCUAUUGGCUUUAUAAGCUCUUCUCAUGUUUUUAUUACCCUCACAUCCAAUCCAUUCGAGCUACAUGCUAAAUCAAAUUGGUAUUUUAUAUUUUUAUUUUUUUAGAGACAGGAUCUCGCUCUGUCACCCAGGCAGGAGUGCAGUGGCACAGUCAUGGCUCGCUGCAGCCUUGACCUCGCCUCAGCCUCCCCAGUAGCUGGGACCACAGGCUCAUGCCACCCACGCCCGGCUGAAGCUAGUUUUAACUGAAGAAAACUCAAAGUGUUCUCUCGCUGUUAACCUUUAUUAUUGAGGCAUUGGCUCUGCUAUAGGAAAACAAGGAGGUGACGUUAAUGUCAGUGGUUGACAUUAACCACUGGCAAGUGACAGUGUGGCUCCUUGACAAGUGGUUGCUGCUCAUAAAUGUCAUGAAACAAAAACACUGGUUUUAGAGAAGUGGGAUUCUACAGUUAAUAUUGCCAGCAAACUUUUAUUAAGCUCUCACUCUGUGCCAAACACAUGCUUGAAGUUGGGGUGAAUCUGUGACCAUUAAGAUGUUGGCUGUUCAUAGGCACCUUAUCAAGCAACUGGGGUGUGAGAGCGAAUGAUAAGAGGGUGAAUCUGGAUGAGGAGGGACUUCCAGGGCACAGGUGGAGGAGAGGCAUUGCAGCCAUAGAGAGGCCCAAGGGAACAGUCAAGACAAGGCGGGGACAGUGGCCAGGAGGCGAGGGCAGCACUUCCUGGGCAGGGAAGGCUUGCCAGGGAGACCAGACUCCUGUCUCUGUUUGGAAAGAAAAGGAACCGCACUGGGGGUCAGGGAGGCUAGGCACGGCACCGGCCUGGGAUGCCAGUCCUGCCUGAGGGCCCAAGGCAAAGGGGAAGCAUUCACAGACCCCACACCAGGCUCCGACGCCAAGUGGAAGAAGAGGGAGAUAGAAGCAGAAGCCUGGGCUUCCAGGCCUGGUGCCUGGGCGGGUGUUGAUGGGACCCAGGGAGAGUCCUGUGGGGAUACUUUGGGUCUGGGCUGGCAGGGGCUCUGGAAGGAGAGGCAUGGAGGUGCGAACCUGGUGCCCAGGUGGAGGUGCAGUGGGGGUGAGGUGGCCAGGCUGCAGACCCCUGCAUCAGAAUGCCUGCGAAGCUGUGGGUUUUUUGUUUGUUUGUUUGUUUUAUUUCGAGACAGGGUGUCACUCUGUCGCCCAGACCGGAGUGCAGUAGCGCCGUCUCGGCUCACUGCAAGCUCCGCCUCCCAGGAUCAAGUGAUUCUCCUGCCUCAGCCUCCCGAGUAGCUGGAUUUACAGAUGCAUGCCACCACGCCCGGCUAAUUUUUUGUAUUUUUAGUAGAAACGAGGUUUCACCACGUUGGCCAGGCUGGUCUCAAACUCCUGACCUCAAAUGAUCCACCUGCCUCGUCCUCCCAAAGUGCUGGAAUUACAGGUGUGAGCCGCACCAGCCUGUUUUUUAAUUUUUUUUAGAGACAGGGUCUCACUCUGUUGCCCAGACUGGAGUGCAGUGGUGUCAUCUCGGCUCACUGCAGCCUCGACUUCCAGCGCUAAAGCAAUCCCCCCACCUCUGCCUCCCGAGUAACCGGGACUACACACGCGUGCCACUACACCCAGCUAAUUUCUAAAAAUUAUUUUACAGACGGAGCUUCUCCGUGUUGCCCAGGCUAGCCUCAAACCCCUGGGCUCCAGUGACCCUCCCGCCUUAGCGUCUCAAAGUGCUGGGAUUACAGGCAUGAGCCACCACGCCCGGUCAGAAGCUGUGUUUUUAAGUGGACAUGCCAUCUUGUCCUGCUGAAGUAUCUCCAUGUAAUCACAAUAUCUAUGGCACCCAAAUCUCCUCCUUCCUCCUCCCUCCACCAAAACACCCCCACAGGCAUGAUACCCUCCCAUGCGCUGGAGGCAGAAUCUCCCAAGGGGAGCUGGCCAGGAGAGGUGUCCCUGAGUUCAGAUGGAGGUGGAAGCCAGAGUGGGGCUGGGACCGCCCAGUGACAUGAGGAUGGGGCUUGGGAUAAAGCCCUGGGGACACUGACAUUUAAAGUGUGGACAGAAGGAGCUACUGAAGGCAACGGAUUUAGAAAAGCAAUUGAGUAUGAUUUCCUUCUUCAAGAAAGGCUGUCCAACUAGCUCUCACUUCCUCUCGUGUGUUCAGUGUCACCCGGAAGCAGAGUUUAAUGUGACUAAAGUCAACAUUGGCUCACACUGUCACGGAGUGUGGGAAGAUGAGUGAGGACUCAUCGCAGGGCGAUACCCACAGCUUAAAACAGGCACCUUCCCCUCCCAGGUCUGGUUAGGGCAGUUGUUACAUAUGAGGGGCAUGGAGUUUUGUCUUGUAUUUUGGCCUUGUUGGUAAAGCAUUCCAAAGCUUCGACACACACUCCUUUCAGCCCAUUAGGAAAGGCUGUUGAUUGUAAUAUUCACACAGCUCCCUGGGCUAUGGUUAAGAGCCUUGCAGAAGGACUGGGAGAAGCCCUGUGUAUUUGAAGUAUUGUAGCAUCAGAAAAAAACACCGGAAGAAGGCAGGUGGGGACAAGGUGCCUAUGUCUGCUCCUUGGAUUCCUUUCCUUAUUGUCCGAGGCAACUACAGGGAAAGCAAAGCGUGAGCCCCCAAAUCCACACCUGGGAGGAACGUUCCCCUUUGCGAGGCAUGGGACUGGCUGGCCCUGUGUCUCACGGGGGAGGCAACUACAGGGAAAGCAAAGCGUGAGCCCCCAAAUCCACAUCUGGGAGGAACGUUCCCCUUUGCGAGGCAUGGGACUGGCUGGCCCUGUGUCUCAUGGGGGCUCUGAGUUUUGGGGUCACACUAGCCUCCUGAGGCCUGGCUGAGAGGGCUGGGUUGGGGGUCAGGAGGCCCCCUGUAGCCACGAAGCUCCUCUGGGGCAUUGUUAAAGGUUCACCCUCUUUUUUGUGGGUAUCCUGGAAGAUCUCAAGAAACUGAGCUUGGAAGAAGAGAGGCCGAGAGGGUCUCCCGCCGCCUGCGUUCUCCGCAGCUGUGGCCCCACAGCCUCCAGUGACCACGGAGGGGAAGGUGCCACCCGCCUUGGCUGCUGAAAGGGUGAUGCUCUUAUGCCUGAGUCUUGGCUCCUGUGGUCCUGCAGAGACCCUGUGGGGGCCGCCCGGUCGUCACCUGCACUCAUCUUGGGUUUUCCUUCCUUUUCCACCCUAAGCUCAAGGUAUUUUUUUCCUGUUUUCUUCACUCUAACUUGGGGAAGAAGGAAGAUCCUUUACGGAAAAGAAAAAAAAAGCACCUUUGAACGUCCUGCAACUUGAGUUUUAAGCUUUCAGAAGGAUUCGGUGCUGCUGGCCCGCUCAGACCCCCGCCUGGGCUGUGGAGUUCCUCCCGUUGGCCCCGCCUCCCUGUACCACCAAAGCUCUAGGCGGCCCAGCCACCCCUGUGAAAGCGGCGCCCGUAGCCAGACGCCAAGGCUGCCGUCCCGAGCCGAGGGUGGCACCUUGCCCAGCGCACGUGCAUUCUCCUGUGGGAACUCGGGGGGCAUGUGGUGAGCAGGCUCCUGUCAGUUGAGGCGGAGGCUCCCGGCCCAUCUUUGCUCUCCUCAGGCUGCCCAGCUCCUGGCGGCACAUGGUGGCCUGGCAAGGCUGACUUGGCCUCCUCAGUUCCCCACCCAUCCGCGGAUCAUCGCCUUCCCUCGCCGCCUCUCUCUACAGCCACCGACAUCUGCGGAGCGUCACAGACUGGUUCUGAGCUGUGGUUUACAAAUUUAACCCAACACAGAGUGAAUUCAAAUUUGCUUUUGGAACAGCCUUUAUCUCCAAUUAAGUGCAAGUAUAUUUACACUACGUGAUAUUAAAGGACUUCUCCAGUGACUGGGAGGUACUGAACCAAAACGUUUGUAAAGAAACGGUGGGGUGAGGUGGUUAGGUAGAAUAUACCGUCCUGGCCAUUUCUCUUCCUUCAGGCGAGUAAGCGCUCCUUCAGCAGAAAGGCUGCGGAUUGCUGGCUGUGCUCUGUGGACUGGGCCAGUAGGUGUGGCCCAGGUCCAGGUCCUGGCACCUCUGCUGAGUGCCCAGCCUGAGAUGACACGUGCCAUCCUGGAGAGAAGCAGAGAGGGUGCUGUCUCCAGGCGUUCUCCAGACAGCGUGGGCCUGGCUUGCUGAGCCAGCUGCAGGAGGGGAUCUCCUGACUGGGGCUUGGGACCAGAUCUGCUGCAGAGAGGCAAUAACUCUGUCUAAAAAGAAAACUUGUCCCGUGUGAUUACAAAAACAGGAAAAGGCUCCAAGCUAGGAAAUGAGAUUUGAGGUAUGGAGAACAUUCUCACCUGAUGGAAGCAUCCUGUUCCUGUACAGGAGGAGGAGCUGGUGCAAGCCCUAGGCCACAUAUGUCACAGUUGUUUUGGACCCUCCGUAGCUUUUAUACUCAUAAAAUAUUAAAGUUGCCCCUUUCAUAUUUGGGUCAUUGAAAGAGCCCACCGUACUCUAGGUUCCUGCUCACUAUGCACAACAUCUCAGAAGAUGGCGUACAAAACUAUUUUUCUAACUAUAGCACAGGUAAUGUGGGGGUGGGGAGGCUUGGGAUAUACCUAAAUGUGGCAAAUGAUUUAUCUUCCACCUUGAGGGAUGAAAAGGAAACUAUGCACUUGAAUUUUAAUUAAAAUUUUAAUUUAAUUCAUUGGAUAGCUUGUGCCAGAAAGAACAGUCAAUAUUCAAGAAGCAAAACUGACGAUUAGCUCAGUUUCGGGCCUCCCUGUCGGGGGAGUUUUCUUGUCUGGAACGCAAACACCUACAAGUAGAGUGUGAGCUGGUUCUUGACAAUCAGAUCUCAUCAACCCUUUGAAAUGUUCUGGGCAGCACAGCUCCUCGGUCUGCAUGGUUGGUGUAAGUAUAAUCAAGUAGUGAAAUUGUAUGGUAUAUACCUAUAUGCCAACAGUGUACACCUGUAUGUGCAGAAUUUGCUAAUAUAACCAUUUCAAUAAAAACCUAUUGAAAAAGCU